UACGAAGGGUGCAAGCGUUAAUCGGAAUUACUGGGCGUAAAGCGUGCGCAGGCGGUUUUGUAAGUCUGUCGUGAAAUCCCCGGGCUUAACCUGGGAAUUGCGAUGGAGACUGCAAGGCUAGAAUCUGGCAGAGGGGGGUAGAAUUCCACGUGUAGCAGUGAAAUGCGUAGAGAUCGGGAGGAACACCAGUGGCGAAGGCGGCCUUCUGGACCAAUACUGACGCUCAUGCACGAAAGCGUGGGGAGCAAACAGG
rnacentral:rRNA from 1 species